rnacentral:piRNA from 1 species
UACAACUAUAAAGUGAUAAUG